rnacentral:lncRNA from 1 species
UGUCUGUUCUAUUUGACUUACUUCAUCUUUCUCCAAUGGUAUUGUCUGUUCUAUUUGACUUAAUUUUAUUAUAUCCAAUGGUAUUGUCUGUUCUUUUGGACAUACUUUUGCUAUCUCCAAUGGUAUUGUCUGUUCUAUUUAAAUAAAUUUUAUCAUCUCCAAUGGUAUUGUUUGUUCUAUUGGACUUAAUUUUGUUAUUUCCAAUGGUAUUUUCUGUUCUAUUGGACUUACUUUUGUUAUCUUCAAUGGUAUUGUCUGUUCCAUUGGACUUAUUUUUAUUAUUUCCAAAAGUAUUGUCUGUUCUAUUGGACUUCGAAUCCCCACCUCCAUGGUAUCUUCUCUAUCAUGUUUUAAUUUCACUCCUUAUUUGAAUUAAACUAUUAAAGAUACCGAAGACAUCAAAACACACAUAUGCAGAAUUGCGC